AAUUUUCUGUGAACUGUCAAGUAAGGUUAAAGAAGUUUGCCUCUGAACAAAACUAAUAAUAUACCUUACAUUUGAAACAAAAAAGAGUGAUAAAGCGCGGCACACUGCGGCUAUAAAUCAACAUGGUGGAGGAUAGUGCACAACCAUUUUGUCGACAAAUGACGAUGAGUAUUAAUGAUCAAUUGAUCAUGCGUUCAUAGAGUGCUUUAGCUAGUCACAGCUAAUUGGGUUUCUUACGAUGAAAUUUAUUCAGACCUAAGUUCUUGAUUUAGUAUGAGCGUUGUAUUUUUAAUUUUUUUUUGAUAUUUUCUUAGUAUUAUGUGUCGUGUGUGGUGACUUGUGGAGGUGUUCAUUAUGGUAGGUUUGCGUGAGCAUGUUUAUAUGAGUCAUGAGUGGAUGAUGUAUGAGCUAUGGACAUUCGCUUGGUCUACUGAUCCACGUAGUAACGCAUGGACGGUGCUGCAUGAGACGAAAAGAAGUGCAAUAACCAAUAGUUCUGAGAGAUUUUUUUUCUGUUGCAAUUAGUCAAUCACAUCGAUGGUUUUGCAAUUAAUGAGAUGCUAAUGCGACGAGGUGAUGGCAGGCAUUCCCUUUUCAUGGCCUCGGGGAGCCAGUGGUAGGCACGUGCAAAAGCCACUCGCCCAUGCAACGCGGCGCCCUGCAUGCACCGCUCUAUCGCUUGCCUCCGCCUCCCAUCCACCACCUGGCUUCAAUUCCACGCCACCACACGCAAUUCUCCAUUCGUUCCACAGAUAAAUACAUUUUUUAAAAUUUUAUGUUUAACUAUUCGUCUUAUUUAAAAACUUUUAAUAAAUAUUAUUUAUUUUUUAUGACUUAUUUUAUUAUUAGAUAUAUUUUUAUAAAAAUUUAAAUAAGAUAAGUGAUCAAACAUAAAUUGUGCCAGUUAAAAAAUAUAUUUAUUUAUAGGACAGAGAGUAGGCUUUGUUUAGUUUUGAAAUUUUUUAGUUUGAUUAUUUUAAUAUUUUUAUUUGUAUUUGAUAAUUAUUAUUUGACCAUAGACAAAUUAAGCUUAAAAGAUUUAUCUCGCAAAUUACCGAUACCGUAUAAUUAAUUAUUUUUUAUUUAUAUUUAAUAUUUUAUGUAUAUGCCUAAAAGUUUGAUGUG
rnacentral:lncRNA from 1 species